UUGGUUUGAUCAUGGCUCAGGAUGAACGCUGGCGGCAUGCCUAAUACAUGCAAGUCGAACGGAGUGAAGCCUUCGGGUUUCAUUCAGUGGCGAACGGGUGAGUAAUACGCAGGGAACCUGGCCAUGGCAGGGGGAUACACUCUGGAAACGGAGCAUAAGACCCCAUAGGCAGUAAGGCGGCAUCGCCUUACUGUUAAAGAAAGCUGAAAGGCUUUGGCGAUGGAUGGACCUGCGGUGCAUUAGCUUGUUGGUGAGGCAACGGCUUACCAAGGCGAUGAUGCAUAGCCGGCCUGAGAGGGCGGACGGCCACACUGGGACUGAGACACGGCCCAGACUCCUGCGGGAGGCAGCAGUAGGGAAUUUUCGUCAAUGGGCGCAAGCCUGAACGAGCAAUGCCGCGUGAGUGAGGAAGGUCUUCGGACUGUAAAGCUCUGUUGCCGGGGAAAAAGGGGAAAUGCAGGAAAUGGCAUUUCAUGGAUGGUACCCGGCCAGAAAGCCACGGCUAACUACGUGCCAGCAGCCGCGGUAAUACGUAGGUGGCGAGCGUUAUCCGGAAUGAUUGGGCGUAAAGGGUGCGCAGGCGGUCUGUUAAGUCUGAAGGCAAAGGGAUGAGCUCAACUCAUUUAUGAUUCAGAAACUGGCAGACUUGAGGACAGGAGAGGGCGGUGGAACUCCAUGUGUAGCGGUAAAAUGCGCAGAGAUAUGGAAGAACACCAGUGGCGAAGGCGGCCGCCUGGCCUGUGACUGACGCUGAGGCACGAAAGCGUGGGGAGCAAAUAGGAUUAGAUACCCUAGUAGUCCACGCCGUAAACGAUGAGGAGCAGGUGUUGGGAGUGAAAUCUCAGUGCCGAAGCCAACGCAGUGACUCCUCCGCCUGGGGAGUAUGCACGCAAGUGUGAAACUCAAAGGAAUUGACGGGGGCCCGCACAAGCGGUGGAGUAUGUGGUUUAAUUCGAAGCAACGCGAAGAACCUUACCAGGUUUUGACAUCGGAUGCGAAGGCGCAGAGAUGCGCUGGAGGCUAUCAUCCAGACAGGUGGUGCAUGGUUGUCGUCAGCUCGUGUCGUGAGAUGUUCAGUUAAGUCUGGCAACGAGCGCAACCCCCGUGGUAUGUUACUAACGCAUUUGGGCGAGGACUCAUAUCAGACUGCCGGUGACAAACCGGAGGAAGGCGGGGAUGACGUCAAAUCAUCAUGCCCCUUAUGACCUGGGCUACACACGUACUACAAUGGCGUCUACAGAGGGAAGCGACCCUGAGAAGGGAAGCGAAACCGGAAAAGGGCGUCCCAGUUCGGAUUGAAGUCUGCAACCCGACUUCAUGAAGAUGGAAUCGCUAGUAAUCGCGGAUCAGCAUGCCGCGGUGAAUACGUUCCCGGGCCUUGUACACACCGCCCGUCAAACCAUGGAAGCCGGCAACGCCCGAAGCCGGUGGCAUAACCUUUUAGGAGUGAGCCGUCGAAGGCGGGGCCGAUGACUGGGGUUAAGUCGUAACAAGGUACCC
rnacentral:rRNA from 1 species